AUUAAUUGACACAUUUUGUUCUUGGUCUAGAUUACAGCCAAACUGUGGAAAAGGGGAAAAAAAUAAUAAUAAUAAUAAAAUAAAAUUGCAUUUCUAUUCUUAUAUUUUUCAAUUUUUUGUCUAAGCUCCAACCAACGUGUCUUAUAAGGCAGUGUUUGGUACGCAGGAUUGGCCAGGUCAGGACAGAACUGUGUCCCAACACCGUGUUUGGAAGACAAUUUUGAGAACUGGACAAGUUGUCCCAAGAGGUCAUGUUGUCUCACUCGAAGAGGACUCAAGUUACCUGUCUCUCCCCUUGGGUCUCACCUGUCCCAAACUCGCUGAGGCAGCUCUCCCCUUUCUCACUGGAUUGUGUCAACAAUCGAAGCAGCUCUUUUCUCUCUCACUGGAUCGUAUUGAUCGUGUCUCUCGUUGGACCUCUACAUCUCUUCGAGUAACAAACACGACCGAUGAGAUUUUGAUACGCAAAAUUAGGGCUUCGAUUUGCAAGGAUAAAGGCUAAAUUUGGAAGGCUUAGCACUUGAUUAAGGAUAGCCACCUGAAAUCACCGAGAAUUCGGAAGGCAACUUUUCGUUGGUUUUUCCACAUGGUUUUUUGGAAGUUGUUGUAGUAAGCCCUAAUUUCUUUACAAAAAAAUCUCUACUUGAAUUGGAUCUGUUUGCAAGGUUUAGUAUGAAUUUCUAUGACUCAUCAGCUCCCCUUAGCAAAUUCAGUGUGAGAGAGAGAGAGAGAGAGAGAAAGAUACGGUAGAUUGGUGAUUCUUCAGAUUCAUGGUGUAAUCUGUUUCACACACUCUCUCUAAAAGUAUAAAACUAGUUUAUGAGUGUUUUCGUUCUUUCUAAUUUCUUUGUUUUGUAGAUCUAUGUUGUUUGAAAUGUUGUAAUUGGUUGACAUUUUUUUUUUUUUUUGUGGAAUUACAAGGUUUGCUUUUGUUGUCAAAAAAGUAUUUUGCGGAUCUUGGCAAUUAUCCUUUGAAUUCUUGUUUAUGUUUUGGUUUUUUUUUUUUUUUUUCAAUUAAAGAGAAAUUAGAUUUUCUGUAUAUGUUUAUGCACAAUAUAUGUUUGUAUGUAUCUAUCUUGGGUGAAGUCACUGGAGGCAAGGGUUUAUCGAUCUCUUCACUUUUUAAAAAAAUAAAAAAUAUAACCAAUCCAAUUCAAUCCUAUAUAAAAUAUUGAACAAUUAAUUUACUAUUCAGUUCGAAAUUAUAUCAAAUACAAAAUUAUAUUAUUUUAAUAUGUCAUCCGAUCUACAUAUGUCCUACAUACCCAACAUAAGCCGUUAUCAAUAUAUAUAUAUAUAUAUAUAUAGAAUAAUGCCACAUCGUCAACGUGGCUACUUUUAUCAUUACAGGGUUUUUUUUUUUUUUUUUUUUUGAUAAAGAAUAUGUUAUACUUUAAUAAGUAGGGUCAUUGGUGAGUAAAGUUGUGGUAGGAAAUGUGGCAACUUUAUGUUAGUCCUUUCGAUUUUAUUUCAUUGAAGUUGUUGACACAACGGACAACUUCGGAUCUUCUGAGGAUGUUUUUAUGGCCACGUAUGCUAUGCGUCACGUGAUUAAUUGCUUUGACUGUCUAACUAGUGGAGAAAAAAAGAUCGUUUAUCUUUACAAUUACAUCUGGGAAAUAAACUAAAAGUAUUGCCAAUAAAAUAAAAUAAACAAAUAAAAGGAAAGGAAAAAAAAAGUUAUCGAGAGAAAAUGAAAUAACACUCCCCCAUAGUGAAUAAAGGUUUAAGAAGUCGUCUUCAGCUUAAAAAAACAAUUAAAAAAAAAAAAGUGUUUACGGAGUUGGAAAAAUAUGAUCAAUUAUGAGCUGACAAAAAGAAAAUGGACCCCCCAAAAAAAAAAAAUGUCAAUUAUAAACUAUUUUUAACACAAUGGCUGGAAAUGCAGGCCCAUUUUCCAGAACUUCCAGCCCAAGAAGAUUGGAUCAAAAGGAUCUCAUAAAAGACUCACAUAGAAAAGUGGAUCAAAGCCCAAUAGGCCCGCUCUUUCUCCAAUUAUAUGAAAUGGAAAACUAUUUUAAAUAUAGGGUAAUUUGGCCCAAUGUUCUUUUUUCAAGGCCUUUAAUGAAAUAUGCCCCUCAUUUCUUGGUUUUUUUUUAUCUGCCCUCUGCUUCCUAUUUUAUCCCCAAUGAAAGUAAAAAAUUACUUUACUUUCCUUUCUUCAUUCCUUCAGUCCAAAAAACCCACAGUCUUUAGUUUCUGCACUCGGCUUUUCUAUUUUUCUUCAUCCCCCAGAAAACCCACACACAAUCUCAUUAAGAAAAAAAAAAAAAUCCAUGCUCCAUCUCCGUGCAUCUCUUACCUCUUCUCUUGCAAACAUAUGAAAGACUAAGGAAAAAUUGCGUUUGAGGUGAGCGGUAGUUUUGCAGAGGAGCUUCACUUGGAAAGCUUGCAACAUCAAAUAGAAAGUGAUCUUAUGCCAAGUGCCCGAUGUGACCAAAGUGAUUCUUAUGUGGCAAGGGAUUGGAAUGAGCUAUGGGUGACAAACUGUGGCAAUGAGACAAAACUCCUAAGUGGAUCAGUUAUCGAGGUGGAUUGCCCAAGGCAUUAUAUGUGGUGAAAGAUGUAUUAAUUGGAAUGAGAAAACAUGUUCAUCUGCUGGAUAUAACAACUUUAUCACAACUUAGAAAAGAUGGACAUCUUGGCUUUUAUAAUGGCUUUAGGCGCAUGGACUAUAACCAUUGGUGUAUUGCUGGACUUCCAAAUACUUGGAAUCAACUUUUUAUGCAUUCAUCAUAAUUGUCAUGCUUGUUAUGGUAUUUUUAGUUUAUAAAAAUGAUCAUACGGUUGCUUAGGUCCUUCCUUCCAUAGAUCACCAUUUUUAAGGGAAUCAAGUUUCAAAACACGACCGAUCUUUUCAUUUUCAAUGUCAACCAGAUAUUGAGAGUUAAACAUCAUUAAUGAAACUCUACAAUCCUGCAUAAUUUAGAGUAUUUAAUAUAUUCAUAAUUUGAACCAUAAA